rnacentral:rRNA from 1 species
UACGAAGGGUGCAAGCGUUAGUCGGAAUUACUGGGCGUAAAGCGUGCGUAGACGGCUAUCUAAGUCGGGUGUGAAAGCCCCGGGCUCAACCUGGGAAUUGCAUUCGAGACUGAAUAGCUAGGGUACGGUAGAGGGAAGUGGAAUUUCCGGUGUAGCGGUGAAAUGCGUAGAUAUCGGAAGGAACAUCAGUGGCGAAAGCGACUUCCUGGACCAGUACCGACGUUCAGGCACGAAAGCGUGGGGAGCAAACAGG